GAAACAUCUUCGGGUUGUGAGGUUAAGCGACUAAGCGUACACGGUGGAUGCCCUGGCAGUCAGAGGCGAUGAAGGACGUGCUAAUCUGCGAUAAGCGUCGGUAAGGUGAUAUGAACCGUUAUAACCGGCGAUUUCCGAAUGGGGAAACCCAGUGUGAUUCGUCACACUAUCAUUAACUGAAUCCAUAGGUUAAUGAGGCGAACCGGGGGAACUGAAACAUCUAAGUACCCCGAGGAAAAGAAAUCAACCGAGAUUCCCCCAGUAGCGGCGAGCGAACGGGGAGGAGCCCAGAGCCUGAAUCAGUGUGUGUGUUAGUGGAAGCGUCUGGAAAGGCGCGCGAUACAGGGUGACAGCCCCGUACACAAAAAUGCACAUACUGUGAGCUCGAUGAGUAGGGCGGGACACGUGGUAUCCUGUCUGAAUAUGGGGGGACCAUCCUCCAAGGCUAAAUACUCCUGACUGACCGAUAGUGAACCAGUACCGUGAGGGAAAGGCGAAAAGAACCCCGGCGAGGGGAGUGAAAAAGAACCUGAAACCGUGUACGUACAAGCAGUGGGAGCCUCUUUAUGGGGUGACUGCGUACCUUUUGUAUAAUGGGUCAGCGACUUAUAUUCUGUAGCAAGGUUAACCGAAUAGGGGAGCCGAAGGGAAACCGAGUCUUAACUGGGCGUUAAGUUGCAGGGUAUAGACCCGAAACCCGGUGAUCUAGCCAUGGGCAGGUUGAAGGUUGGGUAACACUAACUGGAGGACCGAACCGACUAAUGUUGAAAAAUUAGCGGAUGACUUGUGGCUGGGGGUGAAAGGCCAAUCAAACCGGGAGAUAGCUGGUUCUCCCCGAAAGCUAUUUAGGUAGCGCCUCGUGAAUUCAUCUCCGGGGGUAGAGCACUGUUUCGGCAAGGGGGUCAUCCCGACUUACCAACCCGAUGCAAACUGCGAAUACCGGAGAAUGUUAUCACGGGAGACACACGGCGGGUGCUAACGUCCGUCGUGAAGAGGGAAACAACCCAGACCGCCAGCUAAGGUCCCAAAGUCAUGGUUAAGUGGGAAACGAUGUGGGAAGGCCCAGACAGCCAGGAUGUUGGCUUAGAAGCAGCCAUCAUUUAAAGAAAGCGUAAUAGCUCACUGGUCGAGUCGGCCUGCGCGGAAGAUGUAACGGGGCUAAACCAUGCACCGAAGCUGCGGCAGCGACACUGUGUGUUGUUGGGUAGGGGAGCGUUCUGUAAGCCUGCGAAGGUGUACUGUGAGGUAUGCUGGAGGUAUCAGAAGUGCGAAUGCUGACAUAAGUAACGAUAAAGCGGGUGAAAAGCCCGCUCGCCGGAAGACCAAGGGUUCCUGUCCAACGUUAAUCGGGGCAGGGUGAGUCGACCCCUAAGGCGAGGCCGAAAGGCGUAGUCGAUGGGAAACAGGUUAAUAUUCCUGUACUUGGUGUUACUGCGAAGGGGGGACGGAGAAGGCUAUGUUGGCCGGGCGACGGUUGUCCCGGUUUAAGCGUGUAGGCUGGUUUUCCAGGCAAAUCCGGAAAAUCAAGGCUGAGGCGUGAUGACGAGGCACUACGGUGCUGAAGCAACAAAUGCCCUGCUUCCAGGAAAAGCCUCUAAGCAUCAGGUAACAUCAAAUCGUACCCCAAACCGACACAGGUGGUCAGGUAGAGAAUACCAAGGCGCUUGAGAGAACUCGGGUGAAGGAACUAGGCAAAAUGGUGCCGUAACUUCGGGAGAAGGCACGCUGAUAUGUAGGUGAAGCGACUUGCUCGUGGAGCUGAAAUCAGUCGAAGAUACCAGCUGGCUGCAACUGUUUAUUAAAAACACAGCACUGUGCAAACACGAAAGUGGACGUAUACGGUGUGACGCCUGCCCGGUGCCGGAAGGUUAAUUGAUGGGGUUAGCGGCAACGCGAAGCUCUUGAUCGAAGCCCCGGUAAACGGCGGCCGUAACUAUAACGGUCCUAAGGUAGCGAAAUUCCUUGUCGGGUAAGUUCCGACCUGCACGAAUGGCGUAAUGAUGGCCAGGCUGUCUCCACCCGAGACUCAGUGAAAUUGAACUCGCUGUGAAGAUGCAGUGUACCCGCGGCAAGACGGAAAGACCCCGUGAACCUUUACUAUAGCUUGACACUGAACAUUGAGCCUUGAUGUGUAGGAUAGGUGGGAGGCUUUGAAGUGUGGACGCCAGUCUGCAUGGAGCCGACCUUGAAAUACCACCCUUUAAUGUUUGAUGUUCUAACGUUGGCCCCUUAUCGGGGUUGCGGACAGUGUCUGGUGGGUAGUUUGACUGGGGCGGUCUCCUCCUAAAGAGUAACGGAGGAGCACGAAGGUUGGCUAAUCCUGGUCGGACAUCAGGAGGUUAGUGCAAUGGCAUAAGCCAGCUUGACUGCGAGCGUGACGGCGCGAGCAGGUGCGAAAGCAGGUCAUAGUGAUCCGGUGGUUCUGAAUGGAAGGGCCAUCGCUCAACGGAUAAAAGGUACUCCGGGGAUAACAGGCUGAUACCGCCCAAGAGUUCAUAUCGACGGCGGUGUUUGGCACCUCGAUGUCGGCUCAUCACAUCCUGGGGCUGAAGUAGGUCCCAAGGGUAUGGCUGUUCGCCAUUUAAAGUGGUACGCGAGCUGGGUUUAGAACGUCGUGAGACAGUUCGGUCCCUAUCUGCCGUGGGCGCUGGAGAACUGAGGGGGGCUGCUCCUAGUACGAGAGGACCGGAGUGGACGCAUCACUGGUGUUCGGGUUGUCAUGCCAAUGGCACUGCCCGGUAGCUAAAUGCGGAAGAGAUAAGUGCUGAAAGCAUCUAAGCACGAAACUUGCCCCGAGAUGAGUUCUCCCUGACCCUUUAAGGGUCCUGAAGGAACGUUGAAGACGACGACGUUGAUAGGCCGGGUGUGUAAGCGCAGCGAUGCGUUGAGCUAACCGGUACUAAUGAACCGUGAGGCUUAACCUU
rnacentral:rRNA from 1 species